rnacentral:lncRNA from 1 species
UCUGUGGGGAUGCAAGAGGGCAGCAGUGGGGGCCCCUGUGAGCCUGAGUCACUCUUGAGAUGGACACACAGUGCCUGGGGUCCUGGGGCCCUUUGGUGCCUGGCGGCCCUGGGUGGCUGCAGGUGGCGAUUGGGCUCCUCCGUCUCCCAUCAGUCCUAAUGAAACAAGUAAAAUGCUAAACAAACUGAAAAUCAACAACUCUUCUUAGACUCAUCAGACAAGUAAGGUCACAUGGCAAGCCCCUGCCUUCACAAUUGGAGAGACAGGUGGAUACGGAGAAGCACAACUUACCUGAGCAGAAACACAUGAGCAGAAACCUCUUGAGCUGCUGGAAGCUCAGUGCGGACAAGUCUGAGAGUUAUCAACUCCAGGGGACCCGGGCAUUGAGGGCACGCCUUUGUGAGUUUUACCUCUAGGAGCCCUGCAGUGCCCACAGUGAACAUCAGAGAAAUGUCCCCUGUGCUUUAGGCAGGGGAAAGGUAAAGGGGCUGUUCUGAGUUACACCAGAGCAUUCUCUUCUUAGCAAAGCUUCAGGAGAAACUGUUUAACCAGAGCCAGACCUGCUACAGUUUUAUCAGAGCUGAGAUUGGAAGCACCCAACUCCAGCCCACUCUAGCCAUCCUGUUCCACCUAAGGGAGGAAGAAUCUGAGAGGUACUU